rnacentral:lncRNA from 10 species
GUCUCCAUAAAAACCCAAAAGGACAGGGUUUGAAGAGCUUCCAAAUAGCUGAACGCAUGGAGGUUCCUGGAGGGUGGUGUGCACUGGGAGGGCAUCGAACCACUGCACCCCUGCCCAUACCUUGCCCCACGCAUCUCUUCAUCUGUAUCCUUUAUAAUAUUUUUUAUAAUACCCUUUAUAAUAGACCAGUAAACAUGGACCCUGACUUCUGUGAGCUGCUCUAGCAAAGUAAUCAAAUCCAAGGAGGGGGCUGUGGGAUCUCUGAUUUAUAGCCGGUCAGUCAGGGCAUGGGUAAAACAACCUGGGACUUCAGAUAGGCGUCGGAAGUCAGGGGCAGCCUUGUGGGACUGAGCCCUCAACCUGCAGUGUCUGACACUAUCUCCAGGUAGAUAGUGUUGGAAUUGGAUUGGAGAAUGCCCAACUGGUGUCUGCUGAAGAAUUGAUUGCUUGCCUCUUGGUGGGGACCCCCUCAUCCAGUAUUUGGUUACAAAAGUCUUCUGUGUAGAUUGUUGUGGUGUGAAAGCAAAGGAAAAACAGUUUGUGUUUUCCACUCACAAAUGUUCUUUGUGAGGCAGGGAAUACGCAAGGGUUUCACCAUAGCAGCUCUCUAUCUGAAACCCUUGCUAGAGAUGACAUCACAUACAUUUCUCUGGGAAUAUAUGUUUCUUCUGUGCCUGUGUAAAAUUUAACAUCAGAAUAAAUCUAACUGUGCCAAUAUCAUAAAAAAGAGGAUUGUUUAUUUCAGUUGUAACAUUGAGCUUUCAUUUUGAUUUCAACUGACUUUGUAUUUCACUUUCAGUUUUUGAUGACUAUCUACGCACAGGCUAUUUAUAAGUAUUUAUAAAUACUCCUAAUUAAAGUAUUGUAGGACUUUCUCUUCAGUUCAGCUAAAAACCAGGUUCUUGUCACACGACCAGGAAAGGUUAGGCUUGUGGACACCUAGAAGGGUGAGAAAAAUGGAAAUUAUUGGGUGAAAAGGAAAAAGACUCUCCACAAAGCAAGAGGGGUUCCUGUUAACAGAUCCCCAUCUCACAUAUUGAAUCCCAGGUCACCGCCCAGGAACAGGAGAGGCCAGGCUCCUCCCGGCUGCAAAUGGUGUGAACUUCUCGAGGCCCUGCCCCAUCCUCCCAGUGCACAGGCUGGUAGAAGGUUCUCUGGGGAGACCUUUUUACUUGGCUGUCUCGAAAACAUAGAAAUAUCAUACAUUUUCGACACGCACAUAUGAAUCACACAAUAAUCAUGGUAGUUAAUAUUAGAUUUAGAUAAUGAAAACAUCCUUUUAUGUACUUCCUUUGUCUUUUUUUUUCUUCUUCAGUUUUCUAUUUUUCAACUAACAUGUUGCUUUGUGUUUCAUUGAAGAUGUACUUUCUGAUUUCCACAUAGAGCUGCAAAUGUCCAGUUCACAUCACAACACCAAGGAGAAGCAGCUCCUUGUUUUUCCUUUCGCCACUUCACCCUCAGGUCCACCCUCAGCAGCCAGCUCUCUGGGAUAGUCCUGAUCUUCUCCCAGCACAAUCAGUUAAAAAUCCCAUUGUAAAUCCUGCUGUUGGGUAAAUGGAAGUCAGUGCGUCAGAAUGGCAAUAAGCACUUACCAGAAUGAAUUGUAUGCAAAAAAAAUCUGAUGCCUUUUCUGUAGGACUGUCUAAAAAAGAGGAAAAUGGUUUAAAUACUCAUUUUAUGCACUACUAGAUAUGUUUCUGAAAAACUGUGUGUGAAUGGAAAACUUUGAACCUAUUUCAAGUGCAUAAGGGUACCUGACUACAUAAAUAAAACCUCUGGAGAAUUCUUUUCAAAAUGGUAGAAUUAAUCUCUAUUUAGUCACUUUCUUAGUUUGGAAUUUUAUAUGGUAGAACCCUCUGCAUGCUAGAAUGUGGUGAAUUGUUUUUUUUCUAGCUUUAAUUUUUGACAACCCUUUGAGAAGCCAGGAGAAAUUAAUCUAGAUGUUGAGGACAGAGAGUCCAUUUCAGGCUUUCUCAUUUUUUGGCAUCUUAUAUGGGGCAAAUCCUUGUGAAGAGGGUUCAGGGUGAAGAGGGCUAAUUAGGCCUCAUGAUUAGGGGAGGAAGGAACCACAGGAUAGAGCCUGCGGGACGGAGCUUGUCAGGGAGGGCUUGGAAGUGCAGAGGUGACCUUGGAUGGUGCAGACCAGUGAUCUUAAAAACAUUUCAGCUAUGGAACCCAUUCUUCAAAGAAGUCGUACUCAGAAGUCUGAUACAUUAAACAUGUAAAAGCCAAGCUGCUCUGCCUGAAGCGAUGUGGGGAGCCUGGAGUCCUGCUGAGGAAGGGACUGGGCCCUGUUUGAGGGGUGGAAACAGGAGGUUGGUAGAGAGACCUGCCCAAGGUGACUGAAGAAAGGAUGGGGAGUCAUCACGUGAGGACAGGGAUUUGAGGGCAGGCAGCUCCCGCACAGCAGAACACUUUUAGAUUGGAAAGAUUUUGAUCAUCUCAAAAGUCUUGGAUAUAAAAAUUCAGUCUGUGUGGCAGGGAACAGCUCACUCCUGACUGGUUGAAGAUAGGAGGUUGAAGAAAUAAAUGAACUUGAAGCAGACUUGAAGUUUCAUGCCUGAGAUCCUAAAGUAAGAUAAUGUUUGUAAGGCUGAUUGCUAAUCAAGAUGCCUUAUUUCUCAGAUUUUUUUAAUCUGAAUUAUUCCUUCCUCAACCAACAUCCCGAUUUAGGAGCUGUUAUAAGUCAUCACUCAAGAUAAGGAUUUAAAAGGACUGGAUUGCAAAUGCAGCCAGCAAAGCUUAGAAGCCUAAAGGGGUGGGAAAAUGAACUCCCCAAUAUGGGAAAUAAAUGGCAGUUCUGAUGAUUGGCAAAGCGGUCUGGCUUCUUCCAGAAAUAUUUAUAAAGGCAUAAAUUAAUGGCAUUCCAGUUUCUCAAGGAGAAUGAAAAUAAAAAUCCCCAAACAUUCUAAUUUCUCUAAGAGAAUAUAAACAUAAAAGCAAGAGGGUCCUAACAGUGUCGCUC